UUACAGACGUGGCCGAUUUGCACGUGAUUAAGAUCACAGUCUCAGAAAUUACUACAAGUGACUAGAGGUAACCAUCCUGUGCGAAAAGCCUAACUAUCUUGGCCAGGCAGGAAAACCAGUAGGCCUAGGAUUUUUCUUUUUGGUAUAAGAACCAUAAAGGCUACCAGAUUUUUGUCUAAUUAAAAGUUGCUUAAUAAUCUCCAUUCAGUUUAUCAGUAAGCGCAUAACAUUCCAAUCAAUGGACCUGAAGAAAACCACAGAGAUCGCACAACACCCGGCCGGGCCGAGACAAACCUCCAAACACCCUCGCUGCAUGUAGCUAUCUGAACAUAACCUCAAAUUAAGCAGCGAAGCUACCUCAUUAGCAUACUCAUGCACUGGAGGAAAAUGCACUAAUUAUGUUUUACUUUACACUGAUGACCGAGAUGUAUUCAUCUGCUAGGACUGUGGCUUUGUGUGUGUGUUCGGCCAGAGGAAAAGGGAGGGGGGACGGAUACGUAAUAAUCAUCCUCCCUAGAUUAAAUGGAGGCCAUUAGACAGAUAUUAAGGGAACAAUUGGAAGUAUUGGGCCAGGCUGGCCGCUAGCGCUCUUCACUACGAUCAACGAGUGAGUCACGACUCUCGCUAAUGGUUUAUCAGCCGUGUAGAUAUAGGACCGUAGCACGGCUGCGGAGGGGAGCACACCGGGAGGCCUGGCCGUGGAUAUUUGAUCGGCCUACAUGUCUCCGGCUUCUGUUCACUUCUCUCCCAGCAUUACCGGGAAAAAGUCAUUACCGCUGUAAUUAUUUUCAAGAAGAUGUGCUCAGAGAACUCACAAAUAUCAGCGAAUUGCCUUCUUUGAUAAGUACUAUAACAUUCAUUGGGGUUAUUUUGCUGCACUAUGCCGUGCCUUUUCUGUGUGUGGUUUUGUCAUGUUAUUUUCCAGGGUAUGGCCAUUUAGAAGUAGGAUGCUUUACCGCGUUUGCGUCCACGCGUUAAUUGUUCAUAAUUAAGGACAGGCAAGCGUCACAGAAAGGAAGAGUGCGGUACACGUUGUGACGUAGAGGCACGUUCGAAGGUGAAGCGUGGGCUGGUUCUGUCAGAGAGGCACGAGGCAAACAAAGCCUCAUGUCAUUCAUGUCAUUCAUUCAUGUCGAUUCAUGUCUGAAUCGAGAGCGCCGUGAAUAAUCUCUGAUUGAGCCCAAGUAUCACAGCAGCCAUAUCUGACAGAAACAGAGGCGGAGGAAAAAUAAGGAAGCCUUCUCUGGAGAACGAGAUCUAGGAGUUUAUCCUCAAACGCAGAAUAACACCAUGCUGUGUCAGGGGACGGAGAUGUUGUCCAACGUAUGGAAGGAAACCAGAGAGGGAGAAAAUGAAAAAGAGAAAGAGAGGGCAUUGUGCUUGCCACAAACUGACAAUUCCAGUGAAUCUGUGAGACAGCAGUUGACUGCUACUCUGCUAUUCCUGUUAGAGGGCUGAACCCACUCUGCCUUGUUGGCACAGAUAUUUUUAGCCCUGGCGUUUGGCAGAGAGACCAACACUAAGAGUGAUGGGGCCACACAGGCCUCCAACUGCAAAAGGGCAGCAGUGGGAUGAAGAGGGCGGAGGCGGACAAGGUCACAUGACAGCACUGGAGGAUGAGGUGAUGAGAUCUGCUGAUUGAGUCUUGGAGAAUCUGUCUUUGACAAGCUGCAUCUUAUACCUGUGAAAAGGGUAGCAUGGCAUUUUCUGAAAUAUUCAAUUAUAUUUAGGUAAAACUACAACUAAAAUUAGCAAAAUAUAUAGAAGCCAAUUUCUACCACAGAAUAAAUAAAAUAAAAAGGUAAUUGUGACCUUUUAGCUCACAAUGCUGACAAAAAAAAAAAAAAAAA